UUAGCCUCUUUGGGUCGCUGUCGGUUCAGCGAUCGGGUGUGGAAACCCGCCAA
rnacentral:ncRNA from 1 species